CAGAUGGUUUGGAGGGGAGAAAAAGAAAAGGCAGAGUGCCUAGAGUUUGACAUCUCCAAUAAAUUCCCAGGAGUCUGUUUUAUAAAUGUCAGCAUAUUUGUGGUGGUUCAUGCAGGUGCUUACACAGGACUUGUGGCCUUUCACCUAGCAUAAUUAACUUCCUUUUAUUUCACAAUGUUUACCAUUUCUUUCCUUAACCUUUUUGUUUUUACAGAGUGCUCUUGAAGGAAAACUCAGCAAGUUGCUCAAACACCUGCUUGCCAUGAGGCAAACACUGAGCUUCAUACUUGCCCCAGGACAGGAGUCCUGUGAGAAAGCUCAUCAGAUACUACCAACUGUUGUUUAUGCUAGAUUGCUAAAUCAUGUGACUAGAUGUCAUCAAUCUCUGGAGGAAUGCUGUAGCGACUUGCUUGUUUUGACACUUAUUGUACCAUCUGCACCUUGGGUAAAACUGGAGCACUCCUUGAGCCAAGAAUUCACUGUGGAGAAUGUACUUGCAAUAUUGCCUGCAUUUCCCAAGGGGGCCCCUCAGCAACGGGCCAAAAGGGCUGCAGAAACCCUGGUGAAAGCUUGUAAUUAUUCCAGAUUAAUGGCAAUGCAACAGCACAGCUAUUCCAGUCUCCCACUUAUAAAAGGCUGAUCAAGAAGUUAAACGGUUGAUGGGUGGCUGUGGCUGCUGUCUUUUGAGAUACAUGCUCUGCAAGCUGAACUCAAUUUCCAUAGAAGCAUGUACAACCUCCAAGUUAAGUACACUGAAGCUGUUUUUGAGGGGAUAAAGCAAGCCUACCACACUUUUCAAGAGAAUGUUGUGUCAGUUCUAUGUUCACCGCUACAAGGUUAGUGUGUGUUUUUGUGGUAUUUCCAGCAGCACAAACUGAAACCAGUUGGAAAAUACUGAUAAGCAUUAAAUAAAAG
rnacentral:lncRNA from 1 species